UCUGUAUGUUUAAUAAGGUUUCCUGAGGCCACUGACAGGCCGAUGAACUCACAAGUGUAAUAGGGUGCUAUACAAGGGGCAAGUUUUUCAUUAACACCACAAGGGUCUCUGGCCCAAUGAAUGGAGUUUGAUAAGUAAUACUUGCUACAAGU
rfam:Pteropus alecto contig90364, whole genome shotgun sequence.